CAUGUACUCCCCCCGUCCAGAAAUACUUGUCGCAUAAAUGGAUGAAAAUGGAUGUAUCUAGAAUUAAAAUACAUCUAGAUACAUUCAUUCCAAUGACAAGUAUUUCCGGACGGAGGGAGUACAUA
rnacentral:pre_miRNA from 1 species